UAAAUAUUAGUAUAUAUAUUAUAAUAAUAUAUAUGAGUGUUUCUCCAGUACUGGUUACAACUAGGCCUAGGUCGGUGUUGGUGCACUAAAAAGUCCGUAUUUCAUAAGAUUGUUAUUCAAAAUGUGACAAUUUACAUUACAUUGCAUUAAGAAAUGGUUAAUCUAUAAAUUUUGAUAUUUUGAGCUCAGAAGGUGCUAGGGAAAUAUUGAAAUUGUAAAAAAUGUGUGAAAUUACUACCCAAAAUGGCGGCUUUUGAUGAAACACGGAACACCAUGUCAUUAUUUAGUUUUUCUCAAGGUUAUCAACAUAUUGAUUAAACACGGCCACAAAAAUGCGUUUGAGGCGUAUUUUUUUUCUGAAAAGCUUUCUAAACAUGCAUAACGAGCUUAAAAUAGGUCGAGGUGUCCCAAAUGAAGCACCUGUGCUGCGUGUGUUAAGAAUGGGAUUAUUUUUCCCACAACACUACUUUUUAUCAUUGAGAGUUCUUUUGAGCAUCACAGGUAUUGUGUAGAAGAAAAGAAGUGCCGUUUCCGCUGGAAAAACUAGCGUAGUAAUUAACAGGAGUACGUAAACAAUAGUGUGUCCCACAAUUAACCAUUGAUGCGCCUCAAGCGUCGACACGAUCAAUCGCCGGCAAUCUUGCACAAAAAUCUCAUUUAAUCUGUUUUUUGUGAUCUUUUGUGAAUCAACAACCCAUCAGAUUUCAGUAAAUGGAGUUAUCUGUUAGAGUUUCAAGGCGUCUACAAGCCAAGAAAGACUCUAAAUUUGCAAGCAUCAAAGCCUGAGUCUCUAACUCUAAGUCUAACAUGUGUUGCUGUUUUAGAGCGGAGAGAAAAGGAAAGGUUGAGAAAAGCUGCAUACAGGGCCUAGUUAAGCCCACAUGAAAAAGCUUGGAUAAACAGAAAACGCAAAGAAAGAAAACAGCAAGCUAAUAGUCCACUUAAUGUCAUCUCAGCAGAGGUUGGUGAAUCACUAGGUACUGGAUUCCAGACUCCAGUGGCAAAAAGAAUGGCUGUUUCAAGGGCUUUGAUGAAAUUGCCUAGGUCACCCAAGAAAUAUGCUGCAGUUUUUGAUGGUCUCACACAAAUAUUCUCCCCAAGAAAAAGUAAAGCUGUCCAUGACAUACGCUUUCUGCGCCUACCUGAGAGAAGAAAGCAACAUUAAAGAAAGUAUCAAAACCUAACUACACUCCACCAGCAAAAAAAAAGUCAGAUGUCUAGUGCUCAUAGACAAGUACUCUGCAGUAUCCUUAGUAAGUACAACAAACUCAGAGGUUGUGCUACUCAUUUCUAACAUUUUGGUCUUCCAAGAAGUUUUAUGUCUAAGUGCAAAUCAGAACAAAUUGCAAGAAAAAAAAAACGAAGUGAUUGCAUUGCACAAAAUGCCUUGGAAACAAUAUUCAUUUUUUACAGUAGAGAGGAUGUCUCAAGAACUGAUCCCUCUCAGUCAUCUGUUAGUGCUUAAACAGGAAAAGGUUUCAUGCAAAAGCUACUUAACAUAAGAUGCAGUCUUGCUUAUGUGAGUUCUGUUUGAAGAUUUUUCUUUAUAUAGAGGGCAUUAAUAAAUUUCUGAUCAAAAAAGGACACAGAGAGAUGACAUUAAAAAAUCCAGCUUCAUCACUCGACUUAACUCUAUGCCCAAGAACUAAUGCCAAUUGUUUUCAUAAGCUGCAGUGCAUUGAAAGAUCAUGUAGCAACUGUGGUGUGGAUUUAAUUAACAAGUAUUGAGCCUUUAAAAAAAUUGCACGGAUGAAUUAGCAGAGUUGAGUAUAGUAUGUGGUCAAAGAUGAUGGAUGAGUAUGUUCAGAGUGAUGGUACACUGCGAAAGGUAACAAAGUGGCGACCAGUAAAUAAAGAAGGAUCUUUCAAUGACCUAGUGAGAGGUAUUACACCUAAUACUAUUGCUUUCAGAAAUAGAAGCUGUUUCUGCUUUCCAUGCAGAAAUUCAUAUGGCAGUCAGUGCCUGCAUGAUGAAAUAUGUGGAUCUUGGAAGGUGUUCAAACUUCAGAAAAAAAAAGUAGUGCAAUCUCAGUCAAAUCUUUAAGACUCUUUGGAUGUCAGUCCCAUAUGCUCAAAUUCAAAGGCCCAAACAAAUUCCUUCACUAAUCAAAAGUACAUUGUAAAUAGCUGUGUGAUUGUCAAAUAUGGGUAAUAUUCUAUCCAGGUAUAAUUUUUUGCACUGUGUACCUUUUAAUUUCAAUAAACAAGUUCAAAGUAUGUUUUAGAUUGAAGUAUUAACUUUUCAACAUUGCUGGUAAUUUUUUCUAACAGGAGUUGUGAUAGAAGUCCUGGAUGAUCAGCGCAGAAAUAAUUUUUUAAAAAGGCACAGAAAUAAAAAAUAUAUUUGUAUAUCCAGAAGUGCAGGACAUACAGUUAGUGUAUGCAGACAUGAUUGUUACUGAAGUGAUGUUGAUACCAAAUGGCAAUAGUUUGAGAGUGGAAUGUUUUGAUUUCUGAAUUUGUCAAAUAAAAUUUGUGUACAGUUUUA